GCGCGUGGCUGCUCUCAAGAGAAGAUCAAUUUAGCAAUUUGCAUUAGCAUUUGCAAGGUUGGUCUUCUCUUCGCCCUGCUACCCCGGCUGGCUCUCCGAGUGCUACCUCUACUUUAAGUAGGAGUACUUCUAUAUAUAGAAGUGCUUCUACUUGAAGUAGAGGUAGCACUUGGGGAGCCGGCCGGGGUAGGGGGAUUUUUUUUAUUAUUUUUUUCAAUUCCCAUGGGAAUUGAACUUUUAAUUAAAAAGGAGUCUCUUGUAUAAUUAAUGAACAAUUUAUUGAAAAGAACUUGUAAAUUUUACAAUUUGAAUAACAAUAAAAAGAGAACAACCACUGCAUUACUGUACUUAUUUAAAUAACAAUAGAAGAAAACAGAACAUGGCACAAAUAGAACAAUUAACAUUGUGUUCAACACAAGUGAAUAAACACAACAUUAAAAAUACCUUGUUUGCCCGCGAAUUAACAUUAAAAACGUUAACUCUUGAGGAAACAAGCGGAACUUGGUCUUUUCAAGAUAAAUGUUUAUACUUCAAG